UCUCAUGCCAGUCUCUUCCGGUGAUCAAGCAGUGGUAAAAAAUGUGGACUGUUCCAGAUACAAAACAAAAGGCUCUGACAUUCCAUGCCCAAGGCACCUGGACCCAAUAUGUGGCACAGAUCAUAAUACCUACAGUAAUGAAUGCAUGUUUUGCAUGCUAACUAAAAACAAAGGAUUUCAAGUCAGAAAACUUCAGGAUAAAAAAUGUGAUAUUGAGUGCACCCAAUAUUCUGAGAUAUGUACCAUGGAAUUCUUACCUCUCUGUGGAUCUGAUGGACGGCAGUAUGCCAACAAAUGUUUAUUUUGCAAUGCU